CGCUCCAUGCAGUCAUGCCAGCCACAUGACCUUGGAGAUGUCUAUGGACAACGCCGGCUCUUCGUCUUAGAAAUGGAGAUGAGCACCAACCCCCAGAGUCGGUCACGACUGGACUUAACCUCAGGGGAAACCUUUACCUUACUUUAUCUGUAUUCUCAGUUUGCUACUGACAUGAUAAAUAAAUAUCUUAAAAUCAAAGAAAUACAAUUAGUUACAAAUUCAUAUUCAGAAUACACACUUACGGUGUGUCCUGCGAAAAGAGAAAGCUGUAUUCAGCAACAUGUGCACACUUGAAACAUUUCACCAAAAUUAUGUAUACAUUUCAGACUUUGCACCAAUGCAUUUUAUCAAUGUGUUGCCCUGAAAAAUGCAUGCAAAGAUUGUUUUAGGUUUUAUUAACAGGGACAGUCUGCAUGGAACUAGCCCGGAACAGACUUGGAAGUGGGAAAAGGAGGACGUCUAUGAAAACAGACUAGAAAGAUCCACUCAUCUCUAGUUAGUGCUGCAAAUACAAGGCUGGGGUUGAAGAGCUUCGGAGUGAUUAUCCAGCAAGAUGACAAUUAUGGCUUUGUAUGUAAGAGAAGAAAUAUGACAAAACUAGUUCUGAGUACCUUUCCAUAUUUGUGUUGCCCAGCAGUAAAAGGUCAGUCUUUUGAACAUUCCUGUCAACACACCCUGGAACACUAUGCAUUAUUCCGAGCAACCCCAGACUUGCAGAACCUGUAGGGAAUGGGGGGGGGGGGGGUGAGGAAGGACAGUAUGCAAGCGAGAUAAUGAAAUUGCUUAAAAACCCAUUUUUUUCAUGCUCAAGGGCAGAGAAGAUCAAGAAACAACCCAAUCUGGAAGAUGAUGAGGCGAGUAGAGAGAGCAAAGGUGGGAUGACAACAGCCUACAAAUAUUUGCAGUGUAAACAUCAAGAAGACUGAUUUGUCAUAAUGAUGGGUGAGAUUAAUGAUUCCCAACCUGUGGAUGCUCAAAGUUGUUGGACUACCAUUCCUAGAAUACCUCACCACUGGCCAUUAUAUAGAAGAGUAUCCACCCGAGCACUACGAAUCUCGUGCAGAUCCCGAGGUCCCAGAGCGCAGGCAAGACAUAUUCUGAUAUUGGUCCUGGACCCUUUACACAGGGCAACUCAAUUGAAAUGUGCAGCAGACUAACCGCUGAGAGCUUGCUGACCAGCACUGAUCCACAGCCUUACACUUUGCAUGAGUCUAAAGGAAAUACUAAAAACUCAGCAUGAUCUUGUUGGCCAGUGACAAGGAUGGUGGUUUGGAAAGGAGGCUGAGCUCCUACUUGUAUGAAGAAGUCUCAUGGUCUCUUACAUUAGACGGACUCAAACCAGGUGUAACUUUUGGUACUUUGGCUGUGACUGUAUUGGUGUCAGGUGUUGCUGCUACAACCUAUUUUCAUGUAACACCAAGAAUCCUAACUUCAAGGUUUCUGAUCACCUACUGGGCCCUCCCAAAACAAUUUGUUGCCUCAUUUAUUGGACAAAGUGUCACCCAUUCACUUACACCUUCCAGGGCGAAUAAAUGAAGGGUGCAAUUUGUCCGAACACCUGCCCCUUUGGAGGUAUGGGGCUUCAUUCAGCUGGCAGGGUGGACACGGGGAGCAAAGCUUCACUCGCUCACAUGCCCGGCUCCUUUUCAGCUACAGGGCUGCUGGCCGAGUAAAGCCUUGUACAGCAGAGUCUCACUUAUCCAACAUUCUGGAUUAUCCAACGCUUUUUGUAGUCAAUGUUUUCAAAACAUCAUGAUAUUUUGGUGCUAAAUUCGUAAAUACAGUAAUUACUACAUAGCAUUACUGCGUAUUGAACUACCUUUUCUGUCAAAUUUGUUGUAUAACAUGAUGUUUUGGUGCUUAAUUUGUAAAAUCAUAACCUGAUUUGAUGUUUAAUAGGCUUUUCCUUAAUCCCUCCUUAUUAUCCAACAUAUCCAAUUUUGGGCACCGCAGUUGAAGGGAGAUGUUGACAAGCUGGAAAGCGUCCAGAGGAGGGUGACUAAAAUGAUUAAGGGUCUGGAGAACAAGCCCUAUGAGGAGUGGCUUAAAGAGCUGGGCAUGUUUAGCCUGCAGAAGAGAAGGCUGAGAGGAGACAUGAUAGCCAUGUACAAAUACGUGAAGGAAGUCAUAGGGAGGAGGGAGCAAGCUUGUUUUCUGCUGCCCUGGAGACUAGGACACGGAACAAUGGCUUCAAACUACAGGAAAGGAGAUUCCACCUGAACAUCAGGAAGAACUUCCUCACUGUGAGAGCUGUUCGACAGUGGAACUCUCUGCCCCGGACAGUGGUGGAGGCUCCUUCUUUGGAGGCCUUUAAACAGAGGCUGGAUGGCCAUCUGUCGGGGGUGCUUUGAAUGCGAUUUCCUGCUUCUUAGCAGGGGGUUGGACUGGAUGGCCCAUGGGGUCUCUUCCAACUCUACUAUUCUAUGAUUAUAUGAUUCUAUGAUUAACUUAUCCAACGUUCUGCCGGCCCGUUUAUGUUGGAUAAGUGAGACUCUACUGUAUCUCGAUUUUUUUCACUCCAUAAUAGUCACAUCUCUCUCUUUCAGCCAAAAAAGAAAUGAAAAGUGUGACUAUUAUGCGGUGAAAUAUAGUAGCUAAAUCACAUGCAACAACUGUCGCUACUACAUUAUUAUAACCACAAACAACACUGGGAGACACCAUUAGAGAGGGUGACACCAUGCUGACUACAGUGGGUGUGCAGUGUUUCAGCAGAAUUGUAAGAUUAUUUUAUUUUUUAAAAAUCUCCCUGUGGUUAAAUAUAACCAAAAGAACAUUUCUCAUAAGCCCAACCUGAAUGUACUGUAUCAAUAUACUGUCAACUCAGUGCUGA